rnacentral:tRNA from 1 species
GGGGCUAUGGCGGAAUUAGGCAGACGCUUCGGACUUAAAAUCCGAUGAUGGGAACAUCGUAUGGGUUCAAGUCCCAUUAGCCCCACCA